GGGUGCGAUCAUACGAGCACUAAAGCACCGGAUCCCAUCAGAACUCUGAAGUUAAGCAUGCUAGGGCGGUAGUAGUAUUAGGAUGGGUGACCUCCUAGGAAGUCCUCGUGUUGCACCCC
rnacentral:rRNA from 1 species